ensembl:lncRNA novel transcript
AGAGUUCCAGGGGCUCUGGGAGUGGCUGCCAGGUUCUGGAGGUGGAGCUGACACUUGUUUCUUCUUUCAUAAACACGGGAUAAUGCUUUUCAUCCCAGAUGAAAGGGAGGGGAUGUGCCUUUUGAUUUUUUGAGAAACUCAACUCAACAUUUCCUGAAUGGGGAGAAAAGAAAAUGUUCCAACUAGCUCCAGCCAGAUAAAAUCCAGACAGACUGCGAUGAGUGAAGGUCUAUAGACAUGUUUGGCCCAGGACACUGACAUUAUUUAUUGAGGGUCGGUGAAAGGACAUGUCCCGUCUUUCUGUCCUUUGAUUCUUCCUUUCUCCCGCUUGAUUUGUGGCUGCUGACGUUAAAUUGAUCGUCAUAACAAGAAAGAAGAAUGUCUUUGGUCAUGAAACCAAAGCAUCCUGUGCAUGAGUCUUGUUCUGCUGCAGUCUCCUGUGUACCUUCCCACCAUCUCACCCCUACUCACUCCACACAGGGAGCAUGCAGUGAUGUCCCCAAGGGAAGCAUAUUCAUAGAAGUCAAUGCCAACCCCACAGUGAAACCCAAGGCCUAGAGGAGUUAUUUUGUUUUGUUUUGAAAGAGAGGGAGAAUUUUGGUAACAGAUUCAGUUUAUUUAAUUUACAUAAGACUAUUCAGCUUUUUCUUUCAUUUUGUAUAAAUUUUUAUAAGUUAUGUCUUAAGAAAUCUGUUUCAUGUAAAGGAUCAAAUUUGUUAGUCCAAAGUUGUUUAUAAUAUUCUUUGUUCUUUUAAUGUAUAGAGUCUAUUGUAACAAAUCCUACACAUUAAGCAUUCAUUACUGAUACUGUUGAUUUGUAUUCUCUUUUACUCAUGA